rnacentral:rRNA from 1 species
UACGGAGGGUGCAAGCGUUAAUCGGAAUUACUGGGCGUAAAGCGUGCGCAGGCGGUUUGUUAAGUCUGCUGUGAAAUCCCCGGGCUCAACCUGGGAAUUGCAUUUGAGACUGCACGGCUAGAGUGUGUCAGAGGGGGGUAGAAUUCCACGUGUAGCAGUGAAAUGCGUAGAGAUGUGGAGGAAUACCGAUGGCGAAGGCAGCCCCCUGGGAUAACACUGACGCUCAUGCACGAAAGCGUGGGGAGCAAACAGG